GCUUCUCAUUGGCGAUAUCAAGGUACCAAUCUGAGUAGAGACAGCCCCACUGGAGUCCCUGAUCUCUCUCCUAAAAAAUCAAAGCCACUCUCCAAAAUACCUUGAAGCCUAGCCACCUCUGCAGAUAGGUUGGAGACCUCCGUGAUGUCCUCAUGUGGCUGGAGAUGGGCUAAGGCUAAUACCUGCCUCUGUAAAUCAAAAACUCUGCCCGUCAGUCUCAGAAUACAUCCGUCAAGCACCUCAAGUCAUGCGAACUGAGCUGUAAGCAUCUGAAAGAUAAUAAAGAUACGAGGGAUCAAGGUCUGAUCUGAAACAACCCG
rnacentral:lncRNA from 1 species